ACAUUACAGGUGACUGGUCACUCUGGAUACAUUUACAUUAGUUUUUUGUUUAUGUUGGGAAGUCGUCGGAAAAUUCGGCUGUUCUGUGUGUGUGCCGCAAUGAAAAGCUGCUAAAAAGCUAAAUAUAAAAAUCAGCGCAGCGCGCGGCCGUCUGUCGGUGCAUUGUUUUCUAAGUGCAGUCAGUAGGCAGCAGCAAUUUAUGAGGAAAAAUUAUGUGAAGCAGAAACGCAGUUUUUGUUUGUGUGUAUAUGUAUGUACAUUGUGUGCUUCUGUAUGUGUAUUGUGCAAUGAAACUGGAAAACCAUUAUUAUUAAUGAAAACGCGUGAAAUGUACAACGAGAACGACAACGACCAACUCCUCCCACUUGUACGUGUUGUAGGGGUGAAGGGUGUUUGACUGCUGUGUCUGUGCGCUAGUGUGUGUGCAUGUUAGUGUUAGUGCGUGCACGAUAAGGCUUGUAUUUGCGGGCAAUGUAUAAUUAAAUAUAUAUGCAGAGUAAAUGUCAAAGAAAGCGACGUGUAAUAUGCACACACAUUAAUAAGAGCAAAAGGUCAAAAGUUAAGCUGAAAACAGGACCAAGACGCCGUAAUGUUGUAAGUCAGCGACAGCAAUAAGAGAGCGAGAGCGAGAGAGAGAGAGAGCGCAUGCUGGUGUGAGUGUACACGAUAAGAACAAAGAGAAGAGCGAAGAGCACGAAAACCUCGUCUAAGAAACAGCAGCAGAGGAGGGCAAAACAAAAGACUGCUUAAAACUAAUAAACAAACAAAACCAACUCAAAUAAUAACAACCACAAAACAAAUACAAACCGAAAAUGUCGGCCGCGGAGCUUGAGACUGAAAGUUCCGCACAGGAGCAGCAAUCGAAACACCCACAACAACAACAACA